ensembl:snRNA U2 U2 spliceosomal RNA
AUCGCUUCUCUGCCUUUUGGCUAAGAUCAAGUGUAGUAUCUGUUCUUAUCAGUUUAAUAUCUGAUACGUCCUCUAUCCGAGAACAAAAAAAAAAAAAAAAAAAGAAAGAAAGAAAAUGAAGUUUUCAGGGAUAUUCUCACUGUCCACAAUGCCAUGAAUUUCACAAAGGUGAGCAGAGAUUUC